GAUCCUGGCUCAGAGUGAACGCUGGCGGUAGGCCUAACACAUGCAAGUCGAACGGCAGCACAGUAAGAGCUUGCUCUUAUGGGUGGCGAGUGGCGGACGGGUGAGGAAUACAUCGGAAUCUACCUUUUCGUGGGGGAUAACGUAGGGAAACUUACGCUAAUACCGCAUACGACCUCGGUGAAGNAGGACGUCGGCCGUCGUCGUCGGACGUAGAUGAGCGACUGUCGGACGUUAGUC
rnacentral:rRNA from 1 species